rnacentral:rRNA from 1 species
AAAUGACUCUCGGCAACGGAUAUCCCGGCUCUUGCAUCGAUGAAGAACGUAGCGAAAUGCGAUACUUGGUGUGAAUUGCAGAAUCCCGUGAACCAUUGAGUCUUUGAACGCAAGUUGCGCCCGAAGCCGUCAGGUUGAGGGCACGUCUGCCUGGGUGUCACGC